rnacentral:rRNA from 1 species
UACGUAGGGACCAAGCGUUGUCCGGAAUCAUUGGGCGUAAAGAGCUUGUAGGCGGUUUGUCGCGUCUGCUGUGAAAUUUCGGGGCUCAACCCCGAACUUGCAGUGGGUACGGGCAGACUAGAGUGUGGUAGGGGAGACUGGAAUUCCUGGUGUAGCGGUGAAAUGCGCAGAUAUCAGGAGGAACACCGGUGGCGAAGGCGGGUCUCUGGGCCGAUACUGACGCUGAGGAGCGAAAGCGUGGGGAGCGAACAGG